UUGUAGAGCUGCAAGGAGAAGCAGUAGGAGCCCCACUGGGGGCUGGGCCCCCCCAGCUCCCGGCUGGGGGGCUACAGGGACUUGGAACAGUGUUAAACUGGGCUAAGUAUCUGUAGCUGAGAGGCUGGGAGUUUUUUCUCCUCCACCGUGA